GACCGCGUAGCUUCAGUUGGCAGAGCAUUGGGCUAGUAUUCCAAAGGUCGUAGGUUCGAUUCCCACCGUGGCCA
rnacentral:tRNA from 1 species